ensembl:snRNA U5 U5 spliceosomal RNA
AUACACUGGUUUCUCUUCAGAUCAUAUAAAUGUUUUGCCUUUUACUAAAGAUUUCCAUGGAAAGGAACAACUUUGAGUCUGAAGCCAAUUUUUUGAGUCCUUGUUUCAUCAAGUUU